rnacentral:rRNA from 1 species
GACGAACGCUGGCGGCGUGCUUAACACAUGCAAGUCGAGCGGUAAGGCCCUUUCGGGGGUACACGAGCGGCGAACGGGUGAGUAACACGUGGGUGACCUGCCCUUAGCUCUGGGAUAAGCCUGGGAAACUGGGUCUAAUACCGGAUAUGACUCCAUGACGCAUGUUGUGGGGUGAAAGCCCUUGUGCGGCUAGGGAUGGGCCCNCGGCCUAUCAGCUUGUUGGUGGGGUGAUGGCCACCAAGGCGACGACGGGUAGCCGGCCUGAGAGGGCGACCGGCCACACUGGGGACUGAGACACGGCCCAGACUCCUACCGGGAGGCAGCAGUGGGGAAUCUUGCGCAAUGGGCGAAAGCCUGACGCAGCGACGCCGCGUGGGGAUGACGGCCUUCGGUUGU